CUAAGGGUGAUUCAGAAAAUGCUUUUUAUAGAGGCAUAAACACCUAAUUUGGACAUUUUCAGGACACACAGCCAAUGGGAUAAAGUUGGAUGGCAUGGAAGAGACAGUACAGCAAAAAGUAAUGGGUUAAGACAAAAAGUCACAUGCGGGGAGAAUGAGAGAGGACAGAAACGACUAGGGAACAAAUAAAGGCAGAGAAAAGAAGGGAUAACUAGAGUAAUGUAAUAAAGGAAGUCGGAUUUCUAAUACAACUUAAUCUAUGGCUACAACUACAAAGCUAGGGAUAUGGUACAUGCAAAAAUGAGCACAGAAUUUUUUUUCUUAAUGCACUAAGGGGGACUAAAGAAACAUUUACAAAAUAUUUAUUGGGGUUGCCCCAGCAGCGUACAGACAACCACUUUUGGCUGGGUCCUUCCCUGCCCAGACCUACUCCCCUUGGGGCGAUGGAAGGAGGAGGCACUGCAGCAGCCUAGUUCUCUGUCCUUACAGUUGUUCAUCUGCUUCCAGAAAAUGGUGCCUGAGAUGAGCAAGGUCAGCAGACAAGAAGUGAGGUCAAUGUCAGGUUUCCAUGCCAGCAGCGGGAACUCUGGAUACAGUGGAGAGUCACAGCUGGUCAAACCCUGAACCGCUUGCUCCUUGAAAUGGCCAGAGAGGCCCAUCCCAGAGCCAUCUCAUCAUCUCUCCUCAGACAGGAAACCGAGAAGGAAAACAAUCAGCUCUGUUCUCUCUGGGCCGAGGGAGUGAGCUGUAAUGAGGGAGCACAGGAACGCAUUGGGCGCCCUCAGACCUGAACACACAGUUGAGAAUAACUCAUCCAGGGUUGUUGAAUGGUGGAGGAUCUUCCAAAAUCAGCAGCUAGGAGGUCGAGAACCCUUCAUGCCAUACUAAGAAGUUUCAUGCUAGGCAAAGAAGAGUGACAAGGUAUUUCAACAGGUGAAUGAUAGGUACACAAAGAAGGAUUACCACAGGAAAUCCAGAGAGGCUUUAGAAGACGAGCUUGCGUUGAGAUAGAAGCCGGAAGCCCACUUAGCCAACUGCCUCCAUGGGACUUGGCAUGAGGCAGGCUUAUGACAGUAAAUGCUACACUGCCCUCAGUGAAAAAGAGAAUUUGGCAUUCAUUCUUCUGAACCCGCCAUCCCUCAGCCUUGGCGCCUGGGAAUUCUGCGAAUCGUUGCCUGUGGCAGUGACACUGAUUUGUAUCUGGGUAUGAACUUAAAUGAAAACAUGAAUUGAACUCAUUACUUGAGGAAGGAAACACUGCCAAAUUUAACAGGAUGAAAUUCCAGCAGGGUGUAAGGUUUUAUGGGGCUACAGUGGAAUAUCUCAUAGAAAGGUUUCCAGUUCAUAAAACACUUUCAAAACAUGCUCGGCCCUUUUAAGUUGAAGGGACAUUAUCAUUUCUAUCUAUGGCAUUUCUCUGCAAAUUGAACUCAAAUAUCCUUUGGGCUGACUACACAGAGAACAGAAGAAAGAAGUGGAAGAAACUUGGACUGAAGAUUGCCUCCCUGAAAAGGUUUUCUUCAGGCAGAAUUAGGUGAGAACAAAUGACAUCAGAAAGUAGCAUGUCAGUAUACUGCUGCCAGCUCCAUAUGGUUCAGCUUGUUUUCACAGGUAUUUAAUUAAUUCCACAAACAUAUAUUGAGUAUCAGAUGUGGGAUCCUGUUCAACACAUUUGGGGUACAGUAGUCAAUUAGUCUACUCUCAUGGCACAUACAUGCUGGAAGGAGAGAAAAACAAUAAAUAAAUGAACAAAAGAUGCAGUAUCAGGUAGUGAUCAUUGCUAUCAAGAAAAAUAAAGCAAGAGAAAAUGGGAUAGAAGGUGUCAGGGGUGCGGGGUGACAUUUUACAUAGUGUGUUUGGCAAAGGCAAUUCUCAGGUGGUGACAUUUGAACAGAAGCUUGAAUGAAGUGACCUACAUGUUGAAUCCAGAAAGCUAAUUUUAUAUAUAUAUAUUUUUGGAAGGGGGCAGGAGAUAAUAAGCUAGUAAAAGGGUUGGGAAAUUAUUUUGAUUCAAGGAUGCCCAGUUUAAAAAACUGUAAGAGACAGCCCCUCUUUUUCUCCCAGUAUAGCGCUUUCGGUGGCCAUUUGAAUAGAGCUCUGCAUGUUUCCUUGGGAUUUUCUGGUGUUCAUGGCAUAACAACCAGCCAGCAGUCUUCUGGCUGGACCACGUUUUACUUGCUAGCAAGGAGCAGAAGCUGUGGAAAUUGGCAUGUAGAGAUGUAAAAGGAUUUUAUACUUUUCAGCCUGGGCAGAAAAUUAUAGAGAAAAGUAGGUGGGAGUCAGAAAAACAUGAAAUGAGAAAGAAAAGCAUAAUCUGAGUGAGUUCUCUCUCUUUUUUUUUUUGUUUUCUAUGUUUAUCUUUCCACAGCUUUUUCACUGGCUCUGUUAAAAAGCAAAUAUCACUGCAAACUUCAUUUCAUUUUCUCUCAACAGAUGAAAUAAAGCUUGUUAAAAUGUUUUUCCCUUCUGUCAGGUGCAAACUCCAUGUUAGCAGGUUUGAAAACUUUCACAUGUUCAGAUAGCAAUGGAGGUUUUAACUUGGCCAACAUCAACAAACAAACCAUGAGUCCCUCACGUGUGCAAUGCUUGCAUAGAAUGAAAUUGAGUAUGAGCAUGUUUGCCAACCCUACUACAAAUGGUUUAUUUAGAAUAGUAGAAUGUGAAAAAUACAGAUUUAUUUUUAAUAGCUAGUACCAUGAUGAUUAUUGAUUUUUUCUUCCAGAUUAUUAAUUUAAAUAGCAAAAUUAUGCUACAUGUUUAAAAUAUGUCUGUAUCCUGAAAGUACUUAUUGUAAGCUUAAGCCCAGUCUUAUUUCUAAAAAGAUAAUUUGUAGGAGGUAUAAUUUUCAUUUGUAUUCAUGUAUAUUAAUAUAUUUUUUGGUGUUACACUGUUGCAUGAGGAUAGCUGUAAGGUCAGGAUAUUUAGGAAACCUCUGAAUUGAACAUUGAGCUUGUGGAUCUAAUAUUUAAGUAACUGGUUUCUGUCUACGUACUCUUUUCUCUUCCGUGGUAAGCCCUGCAGGCAAGCUCACUUCUCUAUGUUCUCAGUUGUAAAUGAGGAAAGUAGGACGAGGUAUGGAGCUGGAGGGUAAAUGGCAGAAUAGAAGACAGAGUGCCAUUCUGCGUAAGAGCACCACCUUUUGUGUUUGGCAGGCUUGGUUUUAGUCCUGAUUUUUCCAGGUCCAAGUAUAAUCUGGAGCAUUUCUCAAAUUCACUAAACCUCAGUUUCACCUUCUGUAAAACGAAGCUAUUUCAUUGAGUUAUUUUGGGUUACAUAUGUAAAAUUUACAGCCAAAUACUUAACACUCAAGUCUGUCAAGAAACAAUUCCAAAUAUUUUAUAAUAAAUAUAUAAAAAACUUUCACAAUUCAUGGAAUUUACUUCUUGAUUAGUUGCCAUGGUCUAUGGUUAUAAUGAAAUGUACUCUUGGCAGUCCUGGAUAGAGAAGCUCUUGAACCACAACCACAACCAUUACCUUGGAGAUGUCGAAACUGCCCUUUUCCCCGAGACCAUCAUUAGUGCUUUCCACGAACCUGGAUGAUAACCUCACGUUCACCUUUCAAAGCCAAGAAUAACAAGAGAAUUGAAUGUAAUGAUAAUGUUUCUUCUUAAAAUUAUGCCAAAUCCGACUUAGUUGAUGUGAGUUCUGCUUUUUAAAUUAAAGAAAGUACAAAGUCUAUUUUGUGGGUUGGCUAAAAGGGCACUGGUUAAAGAAAACAAUGGUUAUUUGUUUCUGAUGUACAAAUGAUCCACACAGACACAUCUUUAGAUGAAACCCCAAAUUCUUUACUGGUUGGGUUCUACAAAGAGUGACAGUAGUAAUUUGGUGAAGCAGCAGGGGGCAGAGGACUCUUGGUGGUAAGUUAACUUGAUUCUACUUUGAAAACUCUG
rnacentral:lncRNA from 10 species